rnacentral:rRNA from 1 species
AUUGAACGCUGGCGGCAGGCCUAACACAUGCAAGUCGAGCGGAUGAAGGGAGCUUGCUCCUGGAUUCAGCGGCGGACGGGUGAGUAAUGCCUAGGAAUCUGCCUGGUCGUGGGGGAUAACGUCCGGAAACGGGCGCUAAUACCGCAUACGUCCUGAGGGUGAAAGUGGGGGAUCUUCGGACCUCUCGCUAUCAGAUGAGCCUAGGUCGGAUUAGCUAGUUGGUGGGGUAAAGGCCUACCAAGGCGACGAUCCGUAACUGGUCUGAGAGGAUGAUCAGGCACACUGGGACUGAGACACGGUCCAGGCUCCUAGGGAAGGCAGCGGUGGGGAAGAUUGGACGAUGGGCGAAAGCCUGAACCAGCCGUGCCGCGUGUGUGAAGAAGGUCUUCGGAUUGUAAAGCGCUUUAAGUUGUGAGGAAGGGCAGUAAGUUAAUACCUUGCUGUUUUGACGUUACCAACAGAAUAAGCACCGGCUAACUUCGUG